AGAAAAGUCAGGCAGGUCUUGUUCUCUGAGAACACUUGACCCAGGCUGUGCCUGGGUAAACUAGAAAGGUGGUUGGAUGACCCUCAAUGGGUAGGACCACUGUAGCCAGGGGCCCCCCUUUAUCACCUGUUGACACCACCAUGACAGGGGUGUUAGACACAGGUUUACCGGUUACCUAUUGUAAGAGAUCUAUAUGAGCCUGGGCAGGUCCAGU